CGUUGAUAUCCAUUAUUAAUGUUGUCAUUUUUAUGAUUCCUUACAAAAUAAAGAAACAUAUAUCAAGUCAUAGUGAGGUUUAUGAGUGUACAGGGAUCGAAAGAAUUGAUAGUGUAUUCCCAACAUAAAUAUUAUAUUGUAAAUUUUAUUCUGUUUGAGUUAAACAAGUCAAGAACAGUGUGCGCAUGCAAAAAUGCAUCAUAGUGGAUAAUCAAAAGUUUAGAUGCGAUGAAAGUUAGCACCUUGAAAUUUAAUAACUAGUGGAAAAACACAUUUUUAUUCCUUAAAAUUCAAAAUAUACUCUUUUCGCCUCAAUUGCAGCCUCUGCAAGCUAAUUUUAACGAUUUUGAUGAAUUUUAUUUUGAAUUAAAGAUGUUGGCGGGGGAGGCAGAAAUUUAUGACAUCCGAUCAGAAGAUGGGUUGGCCACUUUGUUCAAUGUGGAGUCAGGCACAAUCAUGUUCGCCAAAACCUUUAGAAAACAUUUAAAACCUUAAUUUGGAAACGACCAUUAUCUUGUGUAGAACAGUUAAAACUGCAAAGAAUCAUAAAGAAAGUUUAAAGGAUUUAAAUAUAAUUUCAAAGGCCAAUAAUGAUAAAGUGGAUUUGAAAGAAGAAGAAGUUAGAAUCACGAAAAACCAUGGAUGAAAAAGAGAGAUUUAAUAUGUAACCAAUGUGUAUUCGAAGUGCAUCAAUAUGGAAGACCAUUUCCUGCUGAAGAAAUGGAAUGCCAAAAAUGUCGGAAGAAAGGUUAUUAUGUAAAAAGUAUGCCAGUCCAUGUACAUGAGUUCAGUAUUACUAGUCAAUUCAGUUUGAGGAUGGGAACUUUUUAGAAGAAAAAUAUCUUGAUAAGAACACAGUGACUCAGCUCAAAUGAUCGCCAAGGCCAGAUUGACGGCCAAAAGGUAAUUUUUUUAGUAAAAUGGGAUUGCAAAAGAAUCAUUCAAUAUAUGCUGUUCCCAUGGUGCAAAACACUAAAUUUGGACAUAUUUACAUUAUCAACACCUGACCAGAUUGAAGAAAUCAAUCCACCAGAAGUGGCAAGAAUUGGGUAAUAUAAAGGGUUUUGUAUUUCAUCAAGACAACACCAGGCCACCCACAUAUGUACCGAUGUGGCAGAAGGUCUGAGAGCUUGAAUGAAAGGUUUUAUCGCACCCGUUGUAUGGUCCAGACCUGCCACCUAGCACCUUUUGUAAAAUAAUUUGCACAACUUUCCUGAUGGUACAACACUGGUCUCAAGAGAGGCUUGUAAAUAUUAGCUGGUUUAGUUUUAUACCAGUGGCGACAAAGACUUCUUCAAUCGUGGAAUUAUGAAAUUUCCUUCAAAGUGGACAAAAUUUAUCCAACAAAACAAUGCAUAUUUGAUCUAAAUCGGAUAUUUCUAAUUAUGUUAAUUUUGUUGUCGAAAUAAAGCUAAAAAUUAUCCAAACUUUUUUUACCGAACUUAUUAUUAACUGGGUAAAAUUGGUAUACUAUCUUUGAGUAAAUUGAUAACUGGUGUAAGGGAAGAAAGUUGACAGAGGGAGAAAAUUGUUAUAAUGAGAAGUGGAUGGAAGCAUGAAAUUAGUUUUCUAUAAUUGUUUUCGAAUAAGAUUAUACAGAGAGUGGGAACGUUCUGUUUGGACAUAGUCCAAUUGCUUCUUAAUAGUGUCCUUUAUGUUCAAUUUCCGAUCAGCCGAAUUAUUAGUAUGUAGAGAGGAGAUUAUCAGAGGAAGAGGCCACUUUUUCUGAAUAAUCAUAACAAACAUGGAAAACAUUACUAAACCGUCUUAUCAUAUAAAAUUUUGAACACAUACACAGACUCCAAUGACGAAUUAAAAUUGGUUUAUUGCAAUAUUUAUCGUAUACUUGAAUAUUAGUUUCUCCAGAAAAUAUUAAGAACCCUCUCAUUUUUACUAAUAUUUUGAUUUUACAGAUUGCUUGAUGGAUUUCCAUUACACUUAUGUUAUUUUUUGUCUGAACUUAUUUUUCAAAUAAUGAUUUUAUAGUAUCUAAACUUUGAAUUUCCUCAUAGCCAUAAGGAAAGGAAAUGUUGUCAGGCAAACUCUAUGUCUACUUAUAAGAUGAUAGAUUUUCACGAAAAAAAGGAUUUGACUAGAAUUUGGUAGGUGGUUUUUUUGGUUAGAAGAGCAUAUAAAUGAAAAUUUGGAUCUGUUACUCUCUAUGUCUGAGUUCUGAGGAUUAAAGAUGAAUAAAUUAGCGUUAUGAUGAAUAUUUGAUCGGCAAUACAUCAUGAGCCAAAGCAAUAAGAGGCACUAGUAACUACGCCUGCACCAUAGAGACCAUGGCCUCCCACUUGAAAACAAAUCCGUGGACAUUGACACACUUGACGAAGAUAUCCUUAUACAUAUAAUUUUUAGUUUUAUGUAUUUAUUAAAUGGCCCUUUUUUUGGGAAUUUGUUAUCUGAAGAAUGAAUUUUCAAUACCUCGGCUCUUGUUGGCGAUAUUUAAUGCCUGACCAGGAAAAUUCAUUUUUAUUUAUAUUCAUAACCUAAUUGAACAUAAAUGCGGGAUGACAAAGGACCGAGUAUAUGUUGUGGAGAUAUAAUUGUAACUCCUUGUUGGACUCGGAGUAGAUUUGGGAUCGACAUCGGAGUAAUUCUUGUAAAUGUUCCUGUUUAUUUAUUUCUCCUACUCAGUUGAUUGCUGCUGAUCUAAUGCCACAUUAUGACAGGGUAAGCUACUCUCUUUCAAAACAUUCUUCAAAUUGUCAAGACAACAAUGUUGAUUUUUGAUUUCUUAUUAUUGACUUGCCCAAAAUACGCACGAUUUUCAUCAUUAAUAACUUGGGUUCCCAACUUGCAAAUACUUUCCGCACUGGUGUGCACUAGUAAUUAAUUUAUUUUGAUACAGGUUCUUCAAAAGCUGUUAUCAUUAUUUUUUUAUACUCCAGGAGUGAAGAAUAAGUAUAAACUUGCUGGAUUCGGAUUAGAAAUUGAGGAUCAACAUUUUUGUAAUUCCCCCCCCCCUAUAUCAUUGUUUAGAACUGAGUUAAGUUUGUAUAUAUUUUCUUUCUCUUAUAGAUGCUUGCAGCUAAUCUAAUGAAACGUCAUCAAAGCAAAGCUUCUUUCCUUCUAAAAAUUCUGCAAGUUAUUAAUAUGUGAUUUUUCGUUAUUUUUAACAUAUUUAAUAUUACAGAAUUUCCAAUUAUUUGAAUCUCUGUAUAUGUUGUAUGCAAGUUCAUGUGUAAAUUCAUGAUUUGAAUUUCCUACACAGUUUAAAAGACUUCCAGUAUUUUUGAUCUUUACCUUAAAAGGUUUCGUGAUCACAACUAAAGAGGAAGUUACGACUUUAUCACCAAGUCUAAUAAUAUAUAGAAAUAUUUUUAUAAUUAUAGAUAUUCUCGGGCCCAAAAAACUUUGCUUUAUAAUAAUA
rnacentral:lncRNA from 1 species